rnacentral:rRNA from 1 species
UACGGAGGGGGCUAGCGUUGUUCGGAAUUACUGGGCGUAAAGCGCACGUAGGCGGCUUUGUAAGUUAGAGGUGAAAGCCCGGGGCUCAACUCCGGAAUUGCCUUUAAGACUGCAUCGCUAGAAUUGUGGAGAGGUAAGUGGAAUUCCGAAGUGUAGAGGUGAAAUUCGUAGAUAUUCGGAAGAACACCAGUGGCGAAGGCGGCAUCCUGGCCA